rnacentral:misc_RNA from 1 species
GGGUUUUAGUUAAGCUUAUUCGUGUUUGUGUCGAAUUCAUGUCGAUCCAUUUAUGACACGAGUAUAAUCGAGUCGUGUCACAGGUUAACUCGCUUACCCGAAUUGAUACAUUUAUGACACGGUUUAAUAUUUGUGUCACGUGUUGACUCAUGACCCACUAAUCCAUUUGACCCACUAUUACUCAUGAACCCACUUAUAUAGCAUGUUAAAUGGGUUAAGUCAUAUCAAACCAUAUUAAAUAGGUUAUUUCGUGUUAAAUAGGUCAUAUCGUGUUGAAUACUCCUAAUACAAUAUUAAUCGUGUGUGGAAGGGUCGUGUUCAUAUUUAAAUUUUUUACACGAUAAAUGACUUAUCAACCCGAAUUGCCACCCUUA